rnacentral:lncRNA from 1 species
CAGCCCUCACUGGAAAGGGGCAGACUGGGCUGGGGGAAUCCGGAUCCUUGGGAAGCUUCAAGAGGGAAAGAGGGCAGGAGUCACCUAACCUGAAGUCACUCUAUGUCCAAGAGAGAAAAACAACUUACACAGACCAUGUCUUGGGAACUAGAGCUGGCCAUUCUUCUUCAGGCUUCCUCCCCUGGGGGACAAAAAGAAAGCCAUUCACUGCAUUGUGACUUGAUGUUCCCAGGCUGACUUCUGUCACUGUGAUGUCAUCGACUACACUUAUUUCUCAAGCCUCCCCACUCACUCUCUCCCCUCCCACCGCUCACAGCCUCCCACACACAAAUUGGAAGCACACAGGAGUCUACACAAAGCUGAUCACCUCCUAACCCAGACAACCCACGGCCAAGGGGGCAGUGUGGGAGUGCAGGGCACAAACAUAUCUGCCUUGAACUCCUCCAGAAGAGGCCAGCAGAAGGGAUCCAUCUUCCACCCUGAGCUCCAGCUCGCCCUGCACCUGGGCCGCUCCUCCUACUGUGCGCAGAUCUCAGAUCUUCCUACUGGAACCCCACCUAUCAAGGCUCACAGGGGCUCACAGCAUCCAGGUGGCCCCUCCUGUGUAAACUCAGGGCUGAAGCACAGCGAGGCUGGAGGGGCUGCAGCUGUGAUGCUCAGGCAGCGUCCAGCAUUCUGUGCCCACUGUUAGUGAAUGGGACUGUGCACCAUGGACCACUCUCCUGAGAACCUUCCCUCAUCUAUGAUAACACUUAUGUUGUCUCAAGCCAUGAUCCUUUAUGAAGAUAAUUAGCUGUAAAACAUCCUGUCACAGGAGGUUCUCAUUUUGUAGCACACCCCUCCUGGAACUUGCUA